CUGAAUGGGUCUUUAGAGGUCAUCUCUGUAGCAUAUGGGGACAGAAAAGCCCAGUGAGUGGAAAGACCUUACCCAAGUUUAUUCAGUAUUCAUGGCAAAUCUGGAUUCUUCAUUCCUAGCCUGUGCCUUUAGAUGGACUGUAUAGUGAAGAUACCAACUCUAAGUCAAGCAGUUUAUUGUGGUUUAAUGGUGAGAUGCAUGUGGCGAGGAGGUAAUCAGAAGAAGUGAGAACUGACCAGGAAAAGGAGAUGGUGUGAAACUUUGAAGAUUUUGUAUGCCAUGAUGAAGAAAUGAAAGUUCGGCAGGGUCAAGUAAGUUGUCCAGUGUUCAGUAUGAUGGAGUGGGAUGCACAUGCAAGACUAACUACGACUGAAACAUUUACUUCUGACUUUGCUAUUCUGCUUCCACUCACUGAACAUCUCUCUGUGCAAGGAUCAGGUAAAAUUCACUUCCUUUGUAAUACUUUCCCUUAUCACUGCUGGCUGAAAUUACUUAUCCUUCUAACUGUGGGUGUAAUUUGUAAUGCAAUUUGCUUUAGAUGUGUGUUUUUACUAUAAUGUGAACUCUUCAAGGUCAGCAACAAUUUUUUUUAAAUUUCUGUAUCACCAGCAUCUGGUAUGAAGGCUGAAACAGAGAGGUUGCACAGCAAAUGUUUUGCUAUAAUGAGAGAACAAAUACAUGAAUUAAAUGCGAAUUAAAUUUCUUCUAUCUCCUUAUGGUGGCAAAUAGUAUCCACGUGUUAUGGAUGAAGUCAAGUCAAACUUCAUCUAGCUGUAGCUUCUGGAUUCAGACUGUAAAUUCUACAAGGGUUAGAUCUAUGCCAUUAUUUUUCUUCACUGUGUUUGUAGUGUUUAGCUUGGUGCUUAGCAUAAUAAAAGUGGAUGGGUGACAGAGAAAGGAAUUUGUAUACCCCAAAUUUGAAAGGCUUUUCCCCCAGUACAUUUAAACAAAACCUUACUGAAGGUCUACUCUAGAAAAACGCUGCUGGAGCUUGUUUACACUCAUUCUCCUGUUCAUUUAAGUCUUAGAGGGAGAAACAAAAAUUACGAGUUAUAGUUACAGAGAAAAAAACCUAGAAAGCUGGGGCAAAAUAUAA